rnacentral:rRNA from 1 species
AGUUUGAUCCUGGCUCAGGACGAACGCUGGCGGCGUGCCUAAUACAUGCAAGUCGUACGCUUCUUUUUCCACCGGAGCUUGCUCCACCGGAAAAAGAAGAGUGGCGAACGGGUGAGUAACACGUGGGUAACCUGCCCAUCAGAAGGGGAUAACACUUGGAAACAGGUGCUAAUACCGUAUAACAAUCGAAACCGCAUGGUUUUGAUUUGAAAGGCGCUUUCGGGUGUCGCUGAUGGAUGGACCCGCGGUGCAUUAGCUAGUUGGUGAGGUAACGGCUCACCAAGGCCACGAUGCAUAGCCGACCUGAGAGGGUGAUCGGCCACAUUGGGACUGAGACACGGCCCAAACUCCUACGGGAGGCAGCAGUAGGGAAUCUUCGGCAAUGGACGAAAGUCUGACCGAGCAACGCCGCGUGAGUGAAGAAGGUUUUCGGAUCGUAAAACUCUGUUGUUAGAGAAGAACAAGGAUGAGAGUAACUGUUCAUCCCUUGACGGUAUCUAACCAGAAAGCCAC